rnacentral:rRNA from 1 species
UACGAACCGUGCGAACGUUAUUCGGAAUCAUUGGGCUUAAAGGGCGCGUAGGCGGCGGUGUAAGUUGGAAGUGAAAUCCCAUCGGCUCAACCGUGGAAUUGCUCCCAGUACUGCAUCGCUCGAGGGGGAUAGGGGUUUGCGGAACUACCGGUGGAGCGGUGAAAUGUGUUGAUAUCGGUGGGAACGCCAGUGGCGAAAGCGGCAAACUUGACCCUUCCUGACGCUGAGGCGCGAAAGCUAGGGGAGCAAACAGG